CUGCAGCAGCUCUGUCGAGCCUCUGGGUUCCAGAACUGCUCAGCUGCACAGCUGCAGGCGUCCACAGGCAAGACAUGUGUGUAGAAAAUGCCGGAGCUUCUUGAGAGCCGCCCAGUUUCUGGAAAGUCGCAGAUCCUCGUGACAGUCCAGACACCCUGGCUGCCGCAGCCUUGAAAGACGCUUUUCCUCCAUCUGCUGUCUGGCGGUGGACGAACAGAAGGCGCAGGGACAAGCUCUCCGUCGUGGAUGUGAUUCGUAGUCGCAGUACUGCACCGGAACAGUGGAGAUCUGAACUUGUUUUUUUUCCAAGACAGAAAAGUCACGGAGACCACGGCACACUUCCCAGUUAGAUGGCUGCAACGGGUCGCGAGGCAGAGAGUGCGACAAGCGUCUUAAGAAAAACGAAAGGACUCUGUUGCGCCUGAUACCCCGGAGAAAACGUCUCAUAUGACGCACGCGACACUUUGAGAGCAUUGCAGUUGAAUGCGUUUCCUUCUUCGUGUUUGAACGCGUGUAUUAUGUGUAAAAAGAAGGACUCAGAAGUCUCUCGGAGGUUCUCGCAAACGCGUCGUUAUUAGCUCGCUCUCUGACGUGGACGCAGUGCAACUGGCCCCGGGGAACUCCACGAAGAUUCAGAGACAACACCGGUCAGAGACUUCCUUCUAAAACGUCUCUCCUCCAGGUUUGCGUCCGCAGAAAGGACGACGAAGACAAACGGAAAAGAAAGAGUCUUGGAAGAGCAGGAAAAGCUUGUCUGGCGCGAAUCAACUGGUUUCCGUCUCAGGCCUGUGCAAUCGGGGAAUCGCUUUCGUUUGCCCUUUUCACGGCCGCCAUGCUGAGAGCUCCAGGUGUUAUGGCGGGGAGUCGAGCGUCUGUUUCGAGAAUCCAGCAUCCACGCGCCUUGGCAAAGGUUUUCCUUUUCGGACAAAAAACUGUGCUUCUGUCGUCUUCACCAGAGUCUGGUAGAAAAAACGCACAAAGAACGCACCUGCUCUCCGUCUCGACGGCACUCUCUGGCGACGAGUCGCACGCAACGAAAGGUUUCUGUAGGUCGCUGCUCGAUUUCGCGGGAAUGCGCAGCUGCCGCAACAUCACUUGGCGCCUGGAAACGCGCGACUUCUGCAGGAACUCUUCGCAGAACAGAUGGAAGCGAACUGUGUGUGUGCUGAACAGAGAGAUGGUGGGCAUCUCGUUUUCUCUGUUGGUUCGAGCGAGCGUUCAGAGACUUGACUGCAGGUUUCCAAAGUCACGACCUUUCGGCUGAAAGGAGGGCGCAAUCCGCAGACAAUUUCCUGCCGGGAGAACGGGAGUCGAUUCCUUCAGCCAUGACAUCUGUACAGCUGACAGGCAAACGCUGGAUUCGAAAUUUUCGCCGAAGACAAGCUCUGCACUGAUGCACUGCAGUUCGCAAUUGGAGAGGAGUGUUUAAACCCACCGCCCUUGUACACACC
rnacentral:lncRNA from 1 species